AACUGAUACUACCUGCGGGAACCUGCGGAAGGAUCAUUACCGAGUACCGGGUCUUCUAGGCCCUUACUCCCACCCUUUGUAUACCUAAACCUUUGUUCGUUGCCUCGGUGGGGUUGAUCCCGUUAGGGGGACCCGCCGGGGGGACACCACUAAACUCUUGUCAACGGUGAAGUCUGAGAAUACACUUAAACAAGUUAAAACUUUUAACAACGGAUCUCU
rnacentral:misc_RNA from 1 species